UAUUAUAGUUGCGUUUAGAAAUUGGUUGAUAUUUAGACAACACAUUAAAUUCGUUUGUUUUAAAGACUAAGAAGUUUUUUGUUUGCUAAUAAGUGUUUGUUAGUUACGAAACCAAUACAAGAAACCAACAAUGCCAAAAACCAGACGUACAUACAAACAUAAACCGCAGAACUCGAAAUAUGGCAUGUUAAAGAUAUAUAAGAGCAAAUCUAACUUAUGAGCAAUUCGAACCGCGAAAUUAACUUCAAAGGAAUCGAAAUCUACAUAGAAAUGUUAUGUUUAAUCCCCAUAGAGCUGCAUUCAGUUAUAAUGUGGCAAUUGAUUAUAGUUCAGAGCAAAUUGUUGCUAUUGGACUAAUGAUUAUUGUGUGUCCACAUUGCAAUGAAUUGAAAUUCAAAAAAGAAGCCCCUGGAUUAUGUUGCAUUGGUACCACCACCAGAGCCACUACAUUCAUUGGUUUCAGGAAAUGGGCCAGAUUCUAAUCAUUUUUUGACUCAUAUCCAGCAACACAAUAAUUGCUUUAAAAUGACGUCAUUUGGCGCAACUAAAGUUAUUCGAGAAAAUUGUUUACCUACUUUCAAGAUUCCGGGUCAAAUAUAUCAUAGAACAGGUUCCUUAUUGCCAGUGCCUGAUGAAGACUAUACAUUUUUGCAAAUAUGUACACCCAGUCCUUUUUUAACGCGAUUGUUGGUUCUGCGUAAAAAAAAAACUAAUCGCGUAAAAAAAUAUCGCGUAAAAAUGGUAACCGCUAACUAAAUGACUAAUGACUAGAUUUGCAAUAAUUGAUACACAUAGAGUAAUCGCAAUCGCAAUCGCGUUAAAGUGAAAAAUCCGCGUAAAAAAAGAUUGUGUAAAAAAACGACUGGGUGUACAAUAUUUUAUGGGCAAUUCAAAAAGAGAAGUCGAUCAGCGUUGUGCACUCAACAACUCAGUGAAAAGAU